rnacentral:rRNA from 1 species
UACGUAGGGGGCAAGCGUUAUCCGGAAUUACUGGGUGUAAAGGGUGCGUAGGCGGUAAUGUAAGUCAGGUGUGAAAGCCCGAAGCUCAACUUCGGGAUUGCACUUGAAACUACAUAACUAGAGUACAGGAGAGGUGAGUGGAAUUCCUAGUGUAGCGGUGAAAUGCGUAGAUAUUAGGAGGAACACCAGUGGCGAAGGCGACUCACUGGACUGUAACUGACGCUGAGGCACGAAAGCGUGGGGAGCGAACAGGAUUAGAUACCCUGGUAGUCCACGCUGUAAACGAUGAAUGCUAGGUGUCGGCUCGUCAAGGGUCGGUGCCGAAGUUAACACAUUAAGCAUUCCACCUGGGGAGUACGAUCGCAAGAUUG